CUGGUCCCGCUCCGCCAGCCGCCGGCGCCGCCAUCUUGCCGCACCCGCAGUCGCCGCCGCAGGACAUCAUGGGAGUCGUAGUCUCAUCCUCGGAGCUGGCCCUAACUGGACGCAGCCUACAGGGACUCCCAAGAAGACUCCCCCACCCAACACUCAUCUUGGGGCUCUAACAGAAGGCCCCCAAUUGCACCAUGGGGGGUCCCAGACCUCAGCCCCAUAACUGGGGCUCAGAGAGGGGUGAGGCCUAUGGAAUCAGCUGCAGCACCCCGUGGAGCCCCCCAGAGGUCAGAGUUCCCAUGGCAGGGUCGAUCACAACUACAGGAGGCCCCAGGAACCUGCCACCAUGGUCAGCUGCUGGCCCCCUCUGCCUGGGCUCAGGGGGUGCUGAGGAACUUGCUGUGACCAGCUUUGUGGGGCCUGAACCCCAGGACAUCCCGCUUAGUACCCUCUGCAGGCCUUACCCCCCAGGGGGCACUGGUGUGGCAACCAGGCCCUGC